GUCAGAGAGCUUCAGGAGUCCCCGCUUGCCAAACAGUAGUACGUAAAUACGAAUGCUGAACACUGGGACGUGUGGCCCUAAAUAGUAUCACCGCGACGGCGGCCCCGGGAGAAGAGAUGUACUGCCAUGUACUGGCUGUGUGCCUUUGAGGUUGAAGGCAAAUACUUGAAGUUGCAAUCGAAGGUCAAGAAAAUGGAAUCAAGAGGUCACAAUCCUUCUCUGAUAAUGGCUUAGAAAGCUGGAAGACACUCAACAUUGAAUCCUGGGGCUCUGUGCCAUGCUUGCUAGGAGAAACAGCCACCAUGAGUCCAUCUUUCAGAUCUCAAGUGAACAGGGAAGAGAUUACUGCGUUCAGCACAGGGACAUCUACAAAGAAGGGAAGAAGAAACAGGGACAGACCAGUGAAGCAAUAGAAUAGUUACGUGGUUGUCAUUCUCCAGCUGGGAUUGAGAACAAGGGGAAGCUGGCCAUAGAGCCAGGUGACCAAAGAUGGAAGACAAAGGGUGGGCUGUGAUUCCCAGAGCUCCAAGCCUUGUUCUGUCUUGUCACACCAACUGUUACUGAUGAACAGAAAUCACAGAAAACAGAAAAGGUGUCAGAAGACUAGAGGUUAAGAAAAUGUCUCAAUUUUCAAAAGACAUGGGUUCUAGAUAUGAGACCAGUAACCCAUUCACGAAUCUACCAAUUUGUGAAGACAUCAAUUCCCAUUGGGAGGCAUGAGUUCUCCAAGCUCUAAGAACAUAAAAUGCCCAAGAGAACCUCACUUUCAUUUGUGACCCAGUCAUUAGACUGGACACCAGGGCCCCCAGAGUUCCAUCAUCUUCCAGAAGAAGACAGCACUUGAAGAGGAGACAUCAGACCCAAGGUCUGGUCUCAGCUCUACUUGCUGGUCGGGUGACCCUGAGGGGGAGAUACCUUUCCUUGGAUUCAGUUUUCUUAUCUAAAUUUGAGAUUUGGGGACUUUAAGGGGACCAAGUGUCACAGAGUCAAAGAACAAAAGCCCUGAAGUCAGACAAUUACAGGUUUCAAUCAAGGGUCUCAAAUUAUAUCCCCUCUCUGAGUCUGCUUCCUUGUUUGUAAAAUGAGUACAAUGUUUACCCUUGGCGUUCUUCUGAAGUUUAAAUGAUAGAAUAUAAAGUAUCUAGUAAGCAGUAGACAUUUUUUUAAGGCUUCAUUAAUGUUAGUCCCUUCCCUCUAAAGUGUUCUCUGUCUAGCUCUGAAAUCUCAGUGAUUUUCAGAGUUGCUGAUUUACAGUUAUAGAAAGCUAUACCUGCUGCCUUUAUAGAUGCAGAGAAAGGAUCCUUAGGGAAGGUGUGGUUUAUUUGAAGUCCCUUAUGAUGCCUGUUGAUAUGUCCUGGAGAGACCGGGACAGUGCUGGUUGAUACCACUUAUCGCAGCAGCUUGCCCAGUACAGCAUUUGUCUCAGGCAAAUGUAUCCUGGGGCUGGGUGCAGUGGCUCACACCUAUAAUCCCAGCAUUUUGGGAGGCUGAGGCAGGCGGAUUGCUUGAGUCCAGGAGUUAAAGACCAGCCUGGGCAACAUGGUGAGACUCUGGCUAUACAAAAAAACUGAAAAAUUAGCUGGGUGUGGUGGCAUGCCUGUGGUCCCAGCUACUCAGGAGGUGAGACAGGAGGAUUGCUUGAGCCCAGGCAUUCAAGGCUGCAGUGAGCUGUGUUUGCGCCACUGCACUCCAGCCUGGGUAACAGAGCAAGACUCCAUCUCAAAAAACUACAUAAAAACAAAAAUGUAUUCUUGCUUGGAUAAUAAAUCGUAAGGACUGCUAUAUUUCAGAAAACAGAAUGAUUAGGGAGGCUCCCUGAAUUUUCAGCUAGCUAAACGACUGAAGCCAGAACAUUUCCAUAAGUAGACUGGCAGAUUAACUAAGAACAGUAAUUCGCAGUAUUUCUUUCUCCAGUCUCUUUUGCAAAACAUUCCCAUUCAUUAUUCCCACCAUGACAUGCAGUCAUUCUGCCUCAAGAUCUUUAUACAAGUCCCUGUGGGUUCUAGACUCCCACAGGGAACCCCUCACUAUUGGUUCACUACAAGGUUCUACACCUAGUCCUAUUCAACAUAUUUGUCAUUACCUGGAUGAAGACAUAGAGAACAUGCUUCUCAGUUUUUAAAACUUUCAGGGAUAGAAAGUUGAGAAAGCAAAUGAUGAAGCAAGAUUCAAAAUUACUUUGCAAACUGAAAAAAUGGACCCAAAGCAAAUCACAUAAAAUGUAAGGAUACACUUAAAGGCAUACAUUUAGAUUUUUACAAAUAGCUCAAGGACAGGAUACUGGAAACACAGCUUGACAACAAAUUCUGAUGAAAACACUGGAAGUUUCGGUAGAACACUAACACAAAAAUAGCAGCUGCUAGAAAUUCAAACAUGCUGCUCAGCAAUGGUUUGAAAAAGCAAAUUUUAGGCAGGUCUGACAGAAGUGUGGUGCCGAGAUGCUGAGAGGUAAAGGCCCCAGGGUAAGUGGGACCAAGCAGACCCCACCUCAGCUGCUCUGUCCAUGUGGGAAUCAAAUUGCCCAGGAAGGGAGGGGCCAGGAGCCAGUUCAGCUGUGCCCAAUGUGACGCAUAACUCAAGAGCUGGGUGCAUAAGCUCUGAGAAGAAUAAGAAACAUCCAAGGAGGCAUGACCAUUUCCUUCAAUUAUUUGAGAGGCUGCUACAUGGCCAAGAGAGAGAACUUAUUUUAGACUUGUUUGGGGGGCAUAACCAGGGACUUACAAGGUUCAGUUCAGGAGUCAGCUAUGAAGAGAUCUUUUUUAAUAAUUACAGCUGGCCAAGGGAUGGGCCAUCACUGGGGCAUUACACCAAUGGCUGCAGCAUUAGAGAUGGUAGAAGACACAGGUUUCUAGAGGGCUGUGAGGUGCACCCAUUCUCUGAAUUGAGCCAGUAGUUCUCAAACCCACCAUGGGCACUGCUGAACUGGAUGACCCUAGAUUUACUUCUUUUUUUCAAUGACUCUAUUAAAAUACAGCUUGCAGUGCCAGUACCUUAAGACAGUUUUCUCCGUAACGGGGCUAUGAGGGAAAUGAGCACCAAAGCACAUGACUUCAGGACAUGAGUGUGGGGUACAGGGAAAAGAGACAUGUUCUGAACCUGAAUGAAGCUGGGGAACCUCUCACCUGAGUGCCUGCAUUUGGCAGCCUGAUAUUUUCGGCAGCAGCAGUCACAUCAAUGAAGGCUCGCAUGAGAAUGUCCAAGUAGUUCAGUUUGGAAUACUCCUGUUUGGAGACAGUGAAUGCAUUAGGGAAGUGAAAAGUGUCCUAGGCAAAGGCAAAUUACUUCCAUGGGACAGCCUCAAGCCAAGGUCAUACCUCUAGAAAUGUGCUGUUCCAUAACCUCGAGCGCAAAAUAAGAGACGCCUUGCUGUCCAGCCCUCGCAGCGGGCAUCUGAUGUUCACACAGUUCACGUUCACGCUACAGUUCUAGAGAGAAAAAGAAUGGUCAUCAAAAGACAUUGUUCUGAAGAAAUCCUUCCCCUCAUCCUCUCAAAUAUUCACAGCUCUUGAAAAAUACUUACAAGAGUCUGGUAUUUUCUUUCAGCAAAUAAAGAAAAUUUUCUGUUAUCAUCUA